rnacentral:rRNA from 1 species
AGUGAACGCUGGCGGUAGGCCUAACACAUGCAAGUCGAACGGCAGCACAGUAAGAGCUUGCUCUUACGGGUGGCGAGUGGCGGACGGGUGAGGAAUACAUCGUAAUCUACUUUUUCGUGGGGGAUAACGUAGGGAAACUUACGCUAAUACCGCAUACGACCUACGGUUGAAAGCAGUGGAUCUUCUGACCUUGCGCGAUUGAAUGAGCCGAUGUCGGAUUAGCUAGUUGGCGGGGUAAAGGCCCACCAAGGCGACGAUCCGUAGCUGGUCUGAGAGGAUGAUCAGCGACACUGGAACUGAGACACGGUCCAGACUCCUACGGGAGGCAGCAGUGGGGAAUAUUGGACAAUGGGCGCAAGCCUGAUCCAGCCAUACCGCGUGGGUGAAGAAGGCCUUCGGGUUGUAAAGCCCUUUUGUUGGGAAAGAAAAGCAGCAGGUUAAUACCCCGCUGUUCUGACGGUACCCAAAGAAUAAGCACCGGCUAACUUCGUG